AACGAACGCUGGCGGCAUGCCUAACACAUGCAAGUCGAACGAGACCUUCGGGUCUAGUGGCGCACGGGUGCGUAACGCGUGGGAACCUGCCCUUAGGUUCGGAAUAACUCUCCGAAAGGGGUGCUAAUACCGGAUAAUGUCUUCGGACCAAAGAUUUAUCGCCUUUGGAUGGGCCCGCGUUGGAUUAGCUGGUUGGUAGGGUAAAAGCCUACCAAGGCGACGAUCCAUAGCUGGUCUGAGAGGAUGAUCAGCCACACUGGGACUGAGACACGGCCCAGACUCCUACGGGAGGCAGCAGUGGGGAAUAUUGGACAAUGGGCGAAAGCCUGAUCCAGCAAUGCCGCGUGAGUGAUGAAGGCCUUAGGGUUGUAAAGCUCUUUUACCCGGGAUGAUAAUGACAGUACCGGGAGAAUAAGCUCCGGCUAACUCCGUG
rnacentral:rRNA from 1 species